GGCACCCAAGAGGGGCAAAUCAAUCUGGUUCGUCCAUUUCCACCACACAGUAAAAUCUGAUACCCGCUUUUGACUGCAACCGUUGGAUGUGGUCAUUUUUUUCUCACCUGUUAGCAUUCUGAGAGAGUCCAUGACACGUGGGACCAACUGCUUGCGGGACCGACGGUGUGAGACAGCCAGGCGCUCUCGUUCGCGUGAACUUCCCAAGCGCGCGAGGGGAAGGGGUGAAAACCUAGAUCGGCCGGCACUCCCCAAUCGCAUGCCUCCUCUGCUCCUCGUCCAAUCCCCAACUCCUCCUCUCCUCCCCAAUCGCCGCCACCCCUCCUCCUUCCCCAAUCUGCGCCGUUUUCUCCCCCUGUCUAGCGGGAGCAGCGCUCGAGUGAUGGAGGCGGCUGCACGCGGCAGCGGCGGGGCGGCGACGGCUGGACGCGGCAGCGGUCAUGCCAUGGGCGGCCGGAUGCUUCAGAGGAGGGAGCACGGCCCAUGAGGUGAAGAGGGGGCGGGGUGGACUGCGCCUCCACUUCAACCUUCCUCUUCUGCGCACUGGAGAAGCAUGGCCAGGAGGUAGCCGCCGCCGCCUCGUGCCUCACAUCAGGAGGACCUCACAUAAGGAGGCAGCGCGGGUGCGGGCGCCACCGUUGCAUAGAGCGCCAGGAGGCCACGGUCGCCACCAGUCACGGACGUCGACGUGCAAAGAGUGACAGGCCGUGGCCACCAAGUUCUUCUUCCUCUCCUGGCAUCCACAGGCAUCCCCGAGCCAGCCUGAUCGCCAGCAACCUCUUGAGAAUGGUUUUGUGAUCUUUGGGAUUAAUUAAAGAGAAUGCUAAAGCGUAUAGAAGAGUGGUACCUGUAAUCAUGGGAUGUUGUUGUUUAAGCUUGCUUGAAUGUUCAUGGCCCUGGGUUGAGAAGCAGCGCUCGUCGUGGCGAGCAGGCUGAUUGCAAGAGGCCAAGACUAAAUGGGGAGCCCCCAGGGUCGCGCAGCCUCCGCCU